rnacentral:lncRNA from 1 species
CAAAUAACAAAAUCAUAAAUCACACCAAAUAAAAAAUAAAAUCUUUCUCCACCAUUUGUUUGCACUAUAUUCUCUCACAUGAAUAUAGAAAUCUUGACUAAAAGAUAUACCUGAGUAAUAAGAAAUUGGGUUAGGAAGAACUUAUUGGCUAAAUCCGACUUCCUUCAAUCUUUAUUCCAAUAGCAUGUGAAAAACAAAAUUCUAUCAUCUUUAAACUUAGAAGCAAGGCCAGAUCAAGCAAGCAAACAACUUUCAUUCCUCCUGCACUUUCUUUCUCUCAUUGACAAAGAAUAUCUCUUAAGUAAUUAUCCUCUAUGAUUCCAAAAUAAUUCAAUACCAUUGAAUAUGAUCUAGUAAAUACCCAUUGAAUAAAGAGAGAGAACAAUACAAAGGAGAUCAAAACAGAAAGAGUUUUUAGGGAAAAAAAAAAUUUAACCAUGUUAUCUUGUCUAAAAUUGUAAUUUAUUGUUGGGAUCUUUUUGUAAUAAUAAGUUCAUUAAAAGGCGGGUUUAGUGAGUAUUUUGGUGGGUUCAAAUAGCUUCACCUUAAAAAACAUCUUAAACUUGGUUCUUUGACAUUUAUAUUCUUGUAAAUCAAAAUAAAAAAGGGGAUUAGAUUUUAUAGUUUAGGAAAUAAGUUAUUUUAUAAAGAUAUUUCUUUAAUAUAAUAUUUACUUCUCAUUCAAACAUUUUCUUAUUUAGACAAAAGUCACAAAAUUUUACUUUUUCUAUUUAGAUGUAAAUAUCUAAAAAUCAUAAAUAAAAGUCAUACAUUUUCUUAAUAUUUACUUCUCAUUCAAACAUUUUCUUAUUUAAAUAAAAGUCACAAAAAUUUAUUUUUUCUAUUCAGAUGUAAAUGUCUAAAGAUCAUAUAUAAGUUAUAAUAAAAAAAUAAAUUUUAUAAAAAGUCUGAAAUUAAUAAAAUUUAACAAACAAUCUCUUAGUAUUAGAAAUAUAUAUAAUAGUAUUGAAAUGAAUGUAAGUAACAAAUAAUGUUAACUUAUAAAAUUAUUUAAAUAUCAUCUAAUGAAUAAAUAUCACAUCGAUUGAGAUUAAAAUACCUAAUAUUACUCGUCAAAUAAUAAUCAGUUAUUUAAGAAUCUAAAAUAAUCUAAACAUGCUCCAUGGUACCACAAAUAAAGGUUAAAAUGUCUAAAUGAGGCUCGUUACCAUGCCGUAGCCCACAAUUGGCUUUGUUUCCACUUUCCAACGUGCCAAUUGCCGUUCGGGAUAAACGGGGAAAACACAUUCGGGGAGUCUACACAUCAAUAAUAUAUGUGAAAAUUGAAACCCCACGAAUCCACGAGUUAAUUACUUUGUAUAUAUGACAUAAAAAAUAAUAAUUUAACCAAGUAAAAAUUUCGUAAUAAAAUUAUAAGCUCUUGUAACAAAUUGCC